GAGAGAGGAGCUUGCUCUUCUUGGAUGAGUUGCGAACGGGUGAGUAACGCGUAGGUAACCUGCCUUGUAGCGGGGGAUAACUAUUGGAAACGAUAGCUAAUACCGCAUAACAAUGGAUGACACAUGUCAUUUAUUUGAAAGGGGCAAUUGCUCCACUACAAGAUGGACCUGCGUUGUAUUAGCUAGUAGGUGAGGUAAUGGCUCACCUAGGCGACGAUACAUAGCCGACCUGAGAGGGUGAUCGGCCACACUGGGACUGAGACACGGCCCAGACUCCUACGGGAGGCAGCAGUAGGGAAUCUUCGGCAAUGGGGGCAACCCUGACCGAGCAACGCCGCGUGAGUGAAGAAGGUUUUCGGAUCGUAAAGCUCUGUUGUAAGUCAAGAACGGGUGUGAGAGUGGAAAGUUCACACUGUGACGGUAGCUUACCAGAAAGGGACGGCUAACUACGUGCCAGCAGCCGCGGUAAUACGUAGGUCCCGAGCGUUGUCCGGAUUUAUUGGGCGUAAAGCGAGCGCAGGCGGUUUGAUAAGUCUGAAGUUAAAGGCUGUGGCUCAACCAUAGUUCGCUUUGGAAACUGUCAAACUUGAGUGCAGAAGGGGAGAGUGGAAUUCCAUGUGUAGCGGUGAAAUGCGUAGAUAUAUGGAGGAACACCGGUGGCGAAAGCGGCUCUCUGGUCUGUAACUGACGCUGAGGCUCGAAAGCGUGGGGAGCGAACAGGAUUAGAUACCCUGGUAGUCCACGCCGUAAACGAUGAGUGCUAGGUGUUGGAUCCUUUCCGGGAUUCAGUGCCGCAGCUAACGCAUUAAGCACUCCGCCUGGGGAGUACGACCGCAAGGUUGAAACUCAAAGGAAUUGACGGGGGCCCGCACAAGCGGUGGAGCAUGUGGUUUAAUUCGAAGCAACGCGAAGAACCUUACCAGGUCUUGACAUCCCGAUGCUAUUUCUAGAGAUAGAAAGUUACUUCGGUACAUCGGUGACAGGUGGUGCAUGGUUGUCGUCAGCUCGUGUCGUGAGAUGUUGGGUUAAGUCCCGCAACGAGCGCAACCCCUAUUGUUAGUUGCCAUCAUUCAGUUGGGCACUCUAGCGAGACUGCCGGUAAUAAACCGGAGGAAGGUGGGGAUGACGUCAAAUCAUCAUGCCCCUUAUGACCUGGGCUACACACGUGCUACAAUGGUUGGUACAACGAGUUGCGAGUCGGUGACGGCGAGCUAAUCUCUUAAAGCCAAUCUCAGUUCGGAUUGUAGGCUGCAACUCGCCUACAUGAAGUCGGAAUCGCUAGUAAUCGCGGAUCAGCACGCCGCGGUGAAUACGUUCCCGGGCCUUGUACACACCGCCCGUCACACCACGAGAGUUUGUAACACCCGAAGUCGGUGAGGUAAC
rnacentral:rRNA from 1 species